UCGAUCUAAUUUUGAUCUUCUAUACUUUUCUAUAAUCAUUAAGACAUGUGCAAUGUAUUAUGUAGAGUAACAUGUGUUUAUUAGGCAGGCACAAUGUGUUAUGUAGAGUACUAUGUGUUUAUUAGGCAGGUACAAUGUAUUAUGUAGAGUACCAUGUGUUUAUUAGGCAGGUACAAUGUAUUAUGUAGAGUAACAUGUGUUUAUUAGGCAGGUACAAUGUGUUAUGUAGAGUACCAUGUGUUUAUUAGACAGGUACAAUGAGUUAUGUAGAGUACCAUGUGUUUAUUAGGCAGGUACAAUGUAUUAUGUAGAGUACCAUGUGUUUAUUAGGCAGGUACAAUGUAUUAUGUAGAGUACCAUGUGUUUAUUAGGCAGGUACAAUGUAUUAUGUAGAGUACCAUGUGUUUAUUAGGCAGGUACAAUGUAUUAUGUAGAGUAACAUGUGUUAAUUAGGCAGGUACAAUGUAUUAUGUAGAGUACCAUGUGUUUAUUAGGCAGGUACAAUGUAUUAUGUAGAGUAACAUGUGUUUAUUAGGCAGGUACAAUGUAUUAUGUAGAGUAACAUGUGUUUAUUAGGCAGGUACAA